GACGAACGCUGGCGGCGUGCCUAACACAUGCAAGUCGAACGAAGUGGCGAACGGGUGAGUAAUACGUGGGUAACCUGCCCUCAUUUCUGGGAUAAGCCUUGGAAACGGGAUCUAAUACCGCAUAAAGGGGGAUGGGCUCGCGGCCAAUCAGCUUGUUGGUGGGGUGAUGGGCUGACAAGGCGGGGACGGGUAGCCGGCCUGAGAGGGUGCACGGGCACAUUGAGACUGAGAUACGGCCCAGAGUCCGAAGGAGGGCAGCGGUGGGGGCUAGUGCAGAAUGGGCGAACGCCUGAUGCAGCGACGCCGCGUGGGGUAUGAGGGCUUUAGAGCUGUAAACCUCUUUCACUAUCGAACGGGUAGUUGGAGAGGAAGCGCCGGCUAACUACGUGCCAGCAGCCGCGGUAAUUC
rnacentral:rRNA from 1 species